GAAAUAUCAAAGGAGAUGGGGAUGAGGCACAGAGAGGGGGUGCCCACCACUGGUGCUGGAGGACCUGCUCAGCAUUCUGUCUUCAUACUUCCAUCACUUGCAUCUCUCAUCAAUUAUCAUCAUGGAGCUGGUCGAUAUUGAAAUGAAACUGCUGGGGGAUCGAUAACAGAAUUGCUGAGGAGCCUUCUGGAGGAAUGACAUUUUUCUCAUUUUGUGGGCACAGAGGAUGAAUCGGAGCAGGGGGAGGCGGAGAAGAGGUGCGUGCUCAAGCAUUUGCCACUUCAGAGAACUUUACAGAACAUCCAGCCUUAACGAGUUACCGUGUGUAUCACUGACGAGCCUGGGGAGAUGUUUUUUUCUGCUAACAGAGCAUUUCUCUGGGCAGUUUGCAAGCCCUCUGGUGGGGCUUGCUGCUUUCUAUGCUUCUAAGAGCUGCCACAACAGCCAGGGCAGAUAAACACAUGUGGAUGGGCUAGGCAUGAUUGGGUUGAGUUAGCAAACACGAUUGCUUAAGGUGCAUUUGUGCUCAUGCAGUUUAAUUGUAUUUUUAUUGUGUAAAUGGUGAAGGCACCAUGCCUGCCUAUAGCAGUGGGUUUCACAUCUUGCAGUGCGUUGACUCCCUGCAUUUUUUCCCAGGAGAGGCAUAGACCCCACACAGCAGAUGUCAGCGCUGUCACAGCAGUUAGCAAAAUAACAGAGGCCUCCAGGGAUUCAGACUCCAAACUGGAAACUGCUGUCCUACAGAUUUACAGGUGCUCUCCGCAAUGGAAGGAAGGGAUUUGUUUUAAGCAGGCGGAUAUUUUCAUCCCUGGCAUCGCUUCGCUGACCUCCCUGGAGCUGGAGCGGCUCCGAGCUUGGCGUGGCACAAGCUGCUUUGAAGCCUCCUCUCCUCGCCCUCCUCCUGCCCGCGCAUCCUGCAUCCCCACCCUGGGCUCCUCCAGCAUAUGCUGCUUCCCAGCGAGAGGCUGGCACAGGGUAAUUAUUUGAAGCCUUCUCCUCCAGUGCUUAGUUUCCCGUUGUUCUGUCUUCAUUUUGCUUCCAAGGGUCUACUUCCUCCCUUUAUUGUUUUGUUUUGUUUUCUCUUCUCAAGAAAUCGGGUGUGUACGAUCAUUUGAUCUCAUCCCUAGGCUGCGUUUGAAGGAUAUUGUCUAUUUUCAGAAUCCUCGGUUGUGUUUAUGCUCCAGGCUCCAAACCUCUCUCCUUUUGAAAAGAGGGAGCAAAUCCUCCCUUUGCCUCCUGCCCCACAGAGCCACUGGCUCAGGGAUGCCUUGUUCUAAAUAACCGCCAAUCUCCCCAAAAUGUGGGUCAACCGGUUGCAGUGUUUCUCUUCAUCUUUCUUGCACCACUUUUCAGUGCUGGUGCAUGUGUCCCCACAGGGUGCAUUGCUACUGGGCACUAUGAGAUGCUCUGUGGACCACAGCAAAUAAAGCCAGGCUCAUGGUGGCCA
rnacentral:lncRNA from 1 species